rnacentral:rRNA from 1 species
CCUACGGGUGGCUGCAGUGGGGAAUAUUGGACAAUGGGGGGAACCCUGAUCCAGCCAUGCCGCGUGUGUGAAGAAGGCCCUCGGGUUGUAAAGCACUUUCAGUGAGGAAGAACGCCUGGUGGUUAAUACCCAUCAGGAAAGACAUCACUCACAGAAGAAGCACCGGCUAACUCCGUGCCAGCAGCCGCGGUAAUACGGAGGGUGCGAGCGUUAAUCGGAAUUACUGGGCGUAAAGCGCGCGUAGGUGGCUUGAUAAGCCGGUUGUGAAAGCCCCGGGCUCAACCUGGGAACGGCAUCCGGAACUGGCAAGCUAGAGUGCAGGAGAGGAAGGUAGAAUUCCCGGUGUAGCGGUGAAAUGCGUAGAGAUCGGGAGGAAUACCAGUGGCGAAGGCGGCCUUCUGGACUGACACUGACACUGAAGUGCGAAAGCGUGGGUAGCAAACAGGAUUAGAUACCCGGGUAGUC